CAGGGGCUGCAGAACUGGAGCUGGCAGCCAGCGGGGCCCUGGCAGGGUUCCAGCGACAGGCAACAGCAGUGAGAGGCAACAGGGGGCCCCCUGCAAGGUUCCAGGGACAGGAGGAGGGGAUUGCAGAGGAAGAGUGGGUGAUGACAGGAAAGAGAAGGAUUCACACUUCUACAUUCUCCCUGCCACACACAAAGGCCUGCGGAAGCAACUUGGCCACCAGGCUGCCUUGCAGAUGGAAC